rnacentral:lncRNA from 1 species
UCGCGUUUCUGGGAAGUCAGAAGCAAACCACGAGAAAAUGCCUUCGCAAGGAGCCUCCCUACACCCGCCCUGUCACUGAAACAAAAGCGUAGGGAGGAGGGAGGUGGGAGAGGAGGCGGGAGGAAGGUUUAGAAAGACGAUGGGGACAGCAGUAGGAAGGAGCUGGGGAGGGGGGUCAAGGUGGCAAGCAGAGCUGGGGGCCCAGAGUCCGCUCCCGUGCCGCGCGGCGAGUCGCUUACAUGCCCAGGUCGCUGUAGGUGUUGAAGAACUCCAUCUGAUUGCACGCCUGAAUCCAGCCCACCACCCAGGAUCUGAAGAAAUCUUGCAAGCUGAAGCCUGACAGUUUGGUGCAAACCUCCGAGGGCUCACCACUUCAGUAGAACAUGCAUGGUUCAGGUGGUUUUACAGGAACAACACUAACAAAGUCCUCUGGAGACCCUUUCUUGGAUCCCGCUCCACCUUCUCAGGAGGUUUAUGAUCACCUCGGAGUUGUUCAGCAAUGAGACACUUGCCUUGAACAAAAAGGUUUCAAGGACGUAGAAGAGCUCCUUUUGAAAACUAUGUUGCAGCCUGGAGGAGAAAGGUGGUACACUUGGUAUAGGCCGGUUGGUCCCCUGAACUUCUCCUAGAGACUCUUCCUGGCAGAGCCUGAAUGUAAGGAAACUGUCAGCCAUCAAAAAAGGCAGUGAAGUCAAUUAAAAAUCAAGUGUAAACUCAUGCCUUCUCUGGUUCUUCUCAUGCAUGCUAUUUACAUCUUACCACCUGCACUGUAAACUCCAAGUGGGCAGGGAUGGGCCCUACAUUUGUUCGGUGUCACAGGCUGCCUCUCUUUCACUUCUCUGUGUUCAAUAUGUAUUUAGUAUUUUAUUCAAUGAAUGGAAAGAUGAAAUUAUUUUUAUAUUUUCUGUAGUACGAACUCAGGAGUAUACCUUCUCCUAGGUCUGAAAAGCAGACAGACAAAAUGUGGCUUAAAUAAUAAAACCUAUUCCUAGCUGGUCUAGUCGCGCUAAUCCAGAGAUGAGCACCCAUUGGAGGCUAAGAAGGUUGGCCACACGGCAUUCCUUUGCGCACCUUUGGAUUGCUGCCUCCUUGAGCCCGCAAAUCUCUGCUCUGCGAUAAUCCUACUCUCUUUAUUGGAGCUGAUGGCAACUCUAAGAAAAAAAUGGUUAACACUCCUGAAGAUUAAAUUCUCUCACGAAGAAAAAAUACUCUGGGUGCUAAUAACGUGAAAAAAAAGCAGAGGACAUUCUCAGAAAUGUUCCCACCUGUUCCCAACCAGGCUGUCUGUUUUUAUAUGCUUUCAGUCCUCUCCUUCUGAUCAUUAAUGAGGUUAUUAAGAUGGACUGAUCUCCUCCUGUUCAGGCCUGCAUGGAGACUUUGCUACCUUGCAGUAAUUUCUGUUCCGUGGAGCCCCAAAUAAGCUUAGGGCACAUAGCAAAUUAGAUUUCAGGAGACAAUGGAUCUUAGAAGCAACAAAAUCCAAAUAAAUGAUAUUUACUGCCCUUGAGAAAGGACACUGCAUUCUUCCUCAUAUGUAGCUGUGCUUCCUUCAAUCUAUUUCAGGGUGGCUUAGUGCAGGGGGAGGGAUAAAAAAUGGGGUAGGCACCCUUCUAUUUAAGGGUGGGGCAGCUUGCUGCGCCAUCUCUCAGUUACUGAGUUGGUAAUUGGCUGGCCACAGGCCUCAGACUUCCCAUUUUUCCUUAUACCCUCCUGCUCUUCUAGGUCACGUCUCCUCAUUUCUGUAGCUCCUUGGUGUCAGUAGUCAAUGACAUUGUAUUACAGUCAGAACAGAAUGGGCUUAAUUUACAGACCCACAGAGCUGACCAACUGGCACAUCUCAAGCCUAUACAGAACAAAAUUUUAAAUCCUUAAGAAUCAGAGAUUCUUGAAUUGUGGUGGUUGGGGAGGGGUAUGGUGGGUAAACAGUUCUGAGCCAACCUGCUUAGAACUCAAAUCCCACAGUCAGCUCUCAUAUAAUUUUCCCUCUUUUAAAUAUUUAGUCAUUUAUUUUUGAGUAAAUAAUAUAUGAGCAUGGUACAAAGGUAAGAAUGUUCAAAAAGGCUGAUGGUAAAUGGUAGGACGGUCUCUCAUUCUUGCACUUGCCACUUGGUUUCUUUCUCCAAAGGCAAUUGCUAGUAUAAGGUUCUUGUGUGUCCUGAUACUCAUGUACACUAUGCACAUGCAAAAACAUGUGUAUAUGUUUGUUAUUGCUUAAAAAACCAAAUGUUGGAAAUCUGAACUAACUCUUUCACACUCUGGUAUUUUUAGUUUAACAAUAUAUGUGUUGUGUCUUGGAAAUUAGUUCAUAUCAAUUCAUAUUGAGCUGUCUCAUUCUUUUUUUAAUGGUCAUAUACAGUAGUAUUCAAUUAUAAGAAUAUAUCCUAAUACUUUUUAAAAAUUUCUCAUUGAUAGUUCUUUACAUAGCUUCCAAAGGAUUGUUUUUACAAACAAAGCUUUAAUGAAUAAGGUGUACAUCAUUGACAUGUUUGCUGUCAUAUAUGCAGAAUAAAGUACCAAAAGUAAAAAUUGCUGAGUCAAAGGAUCUAUGUCUUUAUAAUUUUGAUAGAUAUUGCCAGGUUGCUUUUAAUACAGAUUUUACCAAUUUACAUUACCACCAGCUAUGCAAGAUGAAUGUCUG